rnacentral:rRNA from 1 species
UACGUAGGGUGCAAGCGUUGUCCGGAAUUAUUGGGCGUAAAGAGCUUGUAGGCGGUUUGUCGCGUCUGCCGUGAAAAUUCGAGGCUCAACCUCGAACUUGCGGUGGGUACGGGCAGACUAGAGUGUGGUAGGGGAGACUGGAAUUCCUGGUGUAGCGGUGAAAUGCGCAGAUAUCAGGAGGAACACCUGUGGCGGAAGCGGCUCACUGGACCAUAACUGACGCUGAUGCACGAAAGCUAGGGGAGCAAACAGG